GGGCUUGACAUCCCACGAACCUGCCCGAAAAGGUGGGGUGCCCGCAAGGGAGCGUGGAGACAGGUGGUGCAUGGCUGUCGUCAGCUCGUGUCGUGAGAUGUUGGGUUAAGUCCCGCAACGAGCGCAACCCUCACCCCUAGUUGCCACCGGGUUAAGCCGAGCACUCAAGGGGAACUGCCAGCGUCAAGCUGGAGGAAGGCGGGGAUGACGUCAAGUCAUCAUGCCCCUUGCGCCCUGGGCUACACACGUGCUACAAUGGCCAGUACAAAGGGACGCGAGACUGCGAAGUGGAGCUAAUCCCAAAAAGCUGGUCUAAGUUCAGAUUGCAGUCUGCAACUCGACUGCAUGAAGGAGGAAUCGCUAGUAAUCGCGCAUCAGCCCGGCGCGGUGAAUACGUUCCCGGGCCUUGUACACACCGCCCGUCACACCACGAAAGCUGUCUGUACUCGAAGUCGCUGAG
rnacentral:rRNA from 1 species